UCCGUAGGUGAACCUGCGGAGGGAUCAUUACAGAGUUGCAAAACUCCCACAAACCAUCGCGAAUCUUACCCGUACGGUUGCCUCGGCGCUGGCGGUCCGGAAAGGCCCUCGGGUCCUCCCGGAUCCUCGGGUCUCCCGCUCGCGGGAGGCUGCCCGCCGGAGUGCCGAAACUAAACUCUUGAUAUUUUAUGUCUCUCUGAGUAAACUUUUAAAUAAGUCAAAACUUUCAACAACGGAUCUCUUGGUUCUGGCAUCGAUGAAGAACGCAGCGAAAUGCGAUAAGUAAUGUGAAUUGCAGAAUUCAGUGAAUCAUCGAAUCUUUGAACGCACAUUGCGCUCGCCAGUAUUCUGGCGAGCAUGCCUGUUCGAGCGUCAUUUCAACCAUCAAGCUCUGCUUGCGUUGGGGAUCCGCGGCUGCCCGCGGUCCCUCAAAAUCAGUGGCGGGCUCGCUAGUCACACCGAGCGUAGUAACUCUACAUCGCUAUGGUCGUGCGGCGGGUUCUUGCCGUAAAACCCCCCAUUUCUAAGGUUGACCUCGGAUCAGGUAGGAAUACCCGCUGAACUUAAGCAUAUCAAUAAGCGGAGGA
rnacentral:rRNA from 1 species